ensembl:processed_transcript
GACUAUCUUUGGCGCGUCUGCUAAAUAGGUUAAUAACCAUCUGAUGCUGAGUGAGCUUCUCUUUCAUUAUGACCAGGGGCGGACUUACCAUAGCCAGCACCAGGACAUUUCACGUUGACCUAAUGGUCAAUCUGGAGUGCCACCGUGAAUCUGGACCAAUCGCCCACCACCAAGCGUAAAAGGCAGUCCAUUGAGUCCUGAGUGUCUUCUGGAUGGACCUGAUUGGGGUCAGCAGAUCCUCCACUGUGAACAUCUGGAGGGCCCUGAUCCGCAUCAGCAGAUCCUCCACUGGGAACAUAUGGAGGAACCUGAUCCACACUGGCAGAUCCUCCACUAGGAACGUCUGGAGGAACCUGAUCCACACUGGCAGAUCCUCCACUAGGAACGUCUGGAGGGACCUGAUCCACACCAGCAGAUCCUCCACGAGGUACGUCAGGAGGGACCUGAUCCACACCAGCAGAUCCUCCACAAGGUACGUCAGGAGGGACCUGUUUCACACUGGCAGGUUCCACGUGGAGGACGCUUCCACAAAUGUGCCUGAGUUUUAAUUGAAGCGGGAGCUGGUUUGCCAGCUCCUCAAUAGUGCCUGCAUAGAAAUGUACAGGCACUAUGUACUCAUCCAUAUGGCUAUCCAGGAGGAUGAGCUUGUCGUGCAUCUCUGACACUCCAACGAUCUCAAGAACUGCCUCCUGGAUAUCCCUAUCAAUAAGCUGAAAAACAAAAAAAAAUUAGAAAAGGUGACUGAGCUCAAUGAUGUCCCCGACAUAGAGCUCAUUAAGUGCUUCUUCCCGCCACAGUGAGACAUCGUGUACUACGGAGCCACAUUUCAACCGCAGGUCCAGGAUCGGUAUGUGAGUGCGAGUCAUUCUGGGCACUUCAACCUGGAAAAUGACAAAAAGGUCGUGAAGGAGGACAGAGGGCCUCCCUUGCAGCUCUUUUAGCCUCCUCACUUAUGGCUAGCGGAGCCGUCCUAAAUUUGAUGGUGCCUUUAUUUACAAAUAAACAUCGGCGGCCAUAUUUGUUUGAGAUGGUUACAUUUUUUACAAUAUAUGAGUGUCCCUCUUCAAAUUCAGGGUCACUGCCGUUUUUUAUGGACAGAUAAACUGCAUCACCAUCCGUAAGGGCACAUAAAGAUGUUACUUUGUAGGUGUCAACAAUUAUUUUGUUUUCAUGUUUAAUAAAUGUCACAGCCUUUUGGCUACUGUGCACUUUAACACAAGUGAUGUGCAGUGGUGGUGGGCGACUGUACGGUGUUGCCAUCCUAAGAAUAAGAAAAAAAGGUUACUUUGUAUUAGUUGUAAAUAUUAUGUAGAAUAAAUUAUCAUUUCUUUUUAACUCAAUUCAUCAAUUAAACAUAUCAAUUAAUCUAAA